rnacentral:rRNA from 1 species
AUGCAGCCAGGUGGAGGAGGAGGAGGCGAGCAUGGCUGCACGGAGCAGCACCACACGCAGGCGACCGGCCGCCGCGACGACGGCACUCAGUCCCAUUCGUCACCACCGUUCCCGGCCAUUGUCCCCAUGGCUUCUCAGGAAAUGGCGGACGAUGAGUUAACUGAUAUGAUGUAUGACAUGGAGUUUGGAGAACUGAUGAGAGACUGGAUAGAAGAUUGGUCAGAUGAUGAAAAUUCAGAUCGUGGAGAUAGGUCAGAGAAUGGGAAUGAAUUGGAAGAUCUUAAUGAAAACAAUGAGCAUGAUGAUGGUGAGGAAAACAACUCAGAGAUCUCGAAUGAAGAUUACAUUAGUCAGCUCAUUUCCGAAUUUCAUAAUGCGUACGACUAUUACGGUGAAUCCGACGCGGAGACAGGCCUUGAUGAAGAAUCAUUAGCUGCACCUGAUUCUGGGGAGUCGCAGUCGUGGGUCAUCAUGAGUGAGGUGACAGAUGAUGAGGGGAAAAAGAAUGUCCAAGAUACUGCCAGUGCAGAUGAUAAGAAGGAUAUGUUCAUGUAG